AAACAGUGAUGUGGACACUUCCUCAACUUUUCCUUGAAUCUCUUUCAUGCUUCAUAUAAUGAUUCAUGGUCGCCUUGUAUAAAUGAGGUAAUGUUUUCUCAUUUU